UUACGUUCAUAUCAUGUUGAAACUCCUGUUCUCGUACGAUCACCGAAGUUAAGCAACGUCGAACCUAGUCAGUACUUAGAUGGGUGACUGCUUAGGAAUACCAGAUGCAGUAA